rnacentral:rRNA from 1 species
GACGAACGCUGGCGGCGUGCCUAAUACAUGCAAGUCGAGCGGAACCAUUGGAGCUUGCUCCAUUGGUUUAGCGGCGGACGGGUGAGUAACACGUGGGCAACCUGCCCUGCAGAUCGGGAUAACUCCGGGAAACCGGUGCUAAUACCGAAUAGUUUGCGGCCUCUCCUGAGGCUGCACGGAAAGACGGUUUCGGCUGUCACUGCAGGAUGGGCCCGCGGCGCAUUAGCUAGUUGGUGGGGUAAUGGCCCACCAAGGCCACGAUGCGUAGCCGACCUGAGAGGGUGAUCGGCCACACUGGGACUGAGACACGGCCCAGACUCCUACGGGAGGCAGCAGUAGGGAAUCUUCCGCAAUGGACGCAAGUCUGACGGAGCAACGCCGCGUGAGUGACGAAGGUUUUCGGAUCGUAAAACUCUGUUGUGAGGGAAGAACACGUACCAGGUAACUACUGGUACC